UACGUAGGGGCAAGCGUUGUCCGGAAUUAUUGGGCGUAAAGAGCGCGUAGGCGGUCCGGUAAGUCGGCUGUGAAAGUCAAGGGCUCAACCCUUGAAAGCCGGCCGAUACUGUCGGACUAGAGUCCGGAAGAGGCGAGUGGAAUUCCUGGUGGUAGCGGUGGAAUGCGCAGAUAUCAGGAGGAACACCAAUGGCGAAGGCAGAUCUCUGGGCCGUAACUGACGCUGAGGAGCGAAAGCAUGGGGAGCGAACAGG
rnacentral:rRNA from 1 species